CCCUUAGACGUUCUGGGCCGCACGCGCGCUACACUGACCAGUGCAACAAGCAUCCGUCCUUGGCCGACAGGCCCGGGCAAUCUUUGAACGCUGGUCGUGAUGGGGAUAGACUUUUGCAAUUUUUGGUCUUAAACGAGGAAUUCCUAGUAAACGCAAGUCAUCAGCUUGCAUUGAUUACGUCCCUGCCCUUUGUACACACCGCCCGUCGCACCUACCGAUUGAAUGGUCCGGUGAAAUCUCCGGACUGGCGUGAGUCGGAGCAAUCUGACAAACGCCGGAAAGUUGAUUAAACCUUACCAUUUAGAGGAAGGUGAAGUCGUAACA
rnacentral:rRNA from 1 species